AAAUCUCAUCUAAUAUAUCGUAUAUGUAAUAGAUUAAAUUUCAAAUUUGAUCAUUACUUUAGAUCACAUCUAAAUCAGAUCAAAAGCAUCUUAUGCUUCACUAAAAUUAUAUUAGAAAUUAGAUUUUAAAUUAUAAAUCUCUUUAGAUCUUAUCUAAACAUAUUCAUGAUUUAGGUUUUUAGAUCAGCACGUACUUGGACAAUCUUUUCACUGUAACCCCUUACAGCAGGACAACCUUAUAACCAGUAUGUGCGAUCUAAAAUAAAUUAUUUUCAGAUCUUUUUGCAUAUAUCAUCAUGUCAAAAAGAACCUAUACCUUGAUACC
rnacentral:lncRNA from 1 species